rnacentral:lncRNA from 1 species
ACUACUAUUAUUAAUGACACAAUGUAUUUAACAUUUAUAUGUAUUAGCUAAACGAUUAACACAAAGGCUAGCUAACUAACACUAACUAACUAAAAGAAACUGCAUACACUACAAGGCCAAACACAAGGUCAACAAACAAUAGUCUAGUACAUAUGAAUUAUAUUCACAACAAAAAACACAAUGAAGAUAAUUUCACAUUGGCUUAUUUGAUUCAAUGGUCCUCUAAUUAAUUUUAAGUUUUCAUUUUGGUCCCACAAUUAAUAAAACGUAUGUUUUGGUCCUUCAGAUUUUCCUCCUUUUGUCAAAUAAAUCUUAACAGUUAACUUUAACUUUAAAUGUCUAUGAUGGACCAACCUUAAAAGUGGUCUAUCAGAGACCUUAUUAAUUUUAACCGUUCGAUCUAUUUAUCAUAAAAGGGACCAUUAGAUCUUCACCUUCUUCUUUUUCAUGAUCAUCAUAAAAACAGUUGAUUACCAAACUACCCUUGUCAUAUCUUCUUUCUUGUUCAUGGUCUUCGUUAAAAAAACCCAGCAAUAUCUAUUGGUAGCUUUGCGACACUCUUGUCUCUUUUGUUCCCUCCUUCUCCUUUGAAACAACAACAUAGCAACCCAAAUUAAACAACAACAUAGCAACCCAGAUUAAACAACAACAACAACAUCAUCAUCAAUUCAACAGCAACAUCAUCACCAUCUACCCAAAAUUUGUUCAUCAAUUCAAUAACAACAUCAUCACAAUCUACCCAGAAUUUGGUCAUCAAUUAUACAACAUCAUCACCAUCCACCAAAAAUCCAGAUUUAGAAAAUAAGGGAAAAUUAGGGUUCAAUAAAAAUUGGAGCUUUUUAAAAAUUAGGUUUCAAUUCAACAACAACAUCAUCAUCAUCACCAUCACCUGCUUCUUCUUCGUCUACAACAAUGGAUUUUGGAUAGAGGCCCAUCAUGUGUUUGAUAGAAUGUAUGAAAGGGAAUUGGAAUUGAGGAAAUUCAGGAAGCGUUUUGGAUCCUAAUUUUUUAGACUCAGAGGAAUGAGGUUAUAAUCAGUAUGAAAUUGAAAUAGAAAUAUGAUUCAUACUUUCAUGUUCACUUUUCAGUAAUUGUUCUCGUAUAAAUACGAUUGAAAGUGAAGUUUUUGAUAGGGAAUUGUUUGGCCGGUUUUCCCUCUCUUCCUCUUGCCCUUCUCUCUUAUGAGUUUCUUCUUCUUCUGUUGGGAGAGAGAGGGAAAAAAAAGAAAAAGGAAAGUGGUUUUCUUGGUUUUCUUUAUGCUACUGUUGUUGUUGUUGUUUUUACUGAGAAGGAGAAACAAUUUGUUGGUUUUUAAUUUAAUUUUUUUUGGGAUUGUUGAAGUUUUUUUAUGAAGAUAUGAAUAUGAGUGAUGAAGAUGAAAUUUAGAAGAUGAAGAAAAGGAAAAAAAUUAGGUGUUGG